rnacentral:rRNA from 1 species
AAUGAUUAGUGGCGGACGGGUGAGUAACAUUUAGGAAUCUGCCUAGUAGUGGGGGAUAGCUCGGGGAAACUCGAAUUAAUACCGCAUACGACCUACGGGUGAAAGGGGGCGCAAGCUCUUGCUAUUAGAUGAGCCUAAAUCAGAUUAGCUAGUUGGUGGGGUAAAGGCCCACCAAGGCGACGAUCUGUAACUGGUCUGAGAGGAUGAUCAGUCACACCGGAACUGAGACACGGUCCGGACUCCUACGGGAGGCAGCAGUGGGGAAUAUUGGACAAUGGGGGCAACCCUGAUCCAGCCAUGCCGCGUGUGUGAAGAAGGCCUUUUGGUUGUAAAGCACUUUAAGCAGGGAGGAGAGGCUAAUGGUUAAUACCCAUUAGAUUAGACGUUACCUGCAGAAUAAGCACCGGCUAACUCUGUGCCAGCAGCCGCGGUAAUACAGAGGGUGCGAGCGUUAAUCGGAAUUACUGGGCGUAAAGCGAGUGUAGGUGGCUCAUUAAGUCACAUGUGAAAUCCCCGGGCUUAACCUGGGAACUGCAUGUGAUACUGGUGGUGCUAGAAUAUGUGAGAGGGAAGUAGAAUUCCAGGUGUAGCGGUGAAAUGCGUAGAGAUCUGGAGGAAUACCGAUGGCGAAGGCAGCUUCCUGGCAUAAUAUUGACACUGAGAUUCGAAAGCGUGGGUAGCAAACAGGAUUAGAUACCCUGGUAGUCCACGCCGUAAACGAUGUCUACUAGCCGUUGGGGUCCUUGAGACUUUAGUGGCGCAGUUAACGCGAUAAGUAGACCGCCUGGGGAGUACGGCCGCAAGGUUAAAACUC